UCUCAUUCUUCUCUUCUCCCAAAUUUGAACCCUAGCAGAGAGCAUACUACCCUAGCCAGUAGCCACCGACGUGCCAGAAGCUCCUCAUUGACCAUGGCGGUUCAUGGUAGUGGCCAACAGUCCCUCAUUCAUGGCGGCAACAAGCAACCCCAAGCCUUCUCCCCACACCACCAUCUUUGAUUUUUGCCCGGCUAUCACUGUUUGUUACUUCCAUCGUCAGACGUCUUCUCCGCCAUCGUUAGUGAUCUUUUCUACCAUCUUCAGUCCUUUUCUCCACGGUUUGCAGGAAAGAAGCUCUCUCUUAUUGACUCCGCCGCUGCCAGCGGCGCUCAUUGUCACUCCAACGAACCCCACAACAGCUCUUAGGCUCUGCACCACCGUUUUCCACCGACUCUUCCACGAUGUCGUUAUUGCCGCCAACAUUGCUUUCGGAGUUCGAUUGAAGAUGGUUUGAAAGGGUAAAGUAGUAAGAGGUGAGCAUUUACAAAUUUUGAUGUUUGGUGAAACAGGACCUACAGUUCUCUCAUCAUGGUCGCGCAUGACCAUUAAUUGAAGCUCAAACACAACUAAAGCACAAGAAGGUAAACUGAAACUAGACCCCAUUAUGAUUCAUCAAUAUUAUUAGAUCAAAGCUUAUAGUAGCAAUUGCAACUAUGUAUCUUGUGCUUAUUUUGAUUGCAUAAGAAUUAGAAACCAAGUGUGAAGAAUUUAUUGUUCAUUUGUCAAAGAAAUUAUAAUGUAUAAAGUUUAGGAACAAUAAGAUUAUAGCUUUAGGUUUUAUACUAUAAAUACAGUUUUUAAAUUAGCUAUUAAAAGAUUGGAGGCAUUGGAGGAUGCCAUUGAAAGCAUCGAAAUUGUCUUGACAACUUAUUUAGGAGAUUGGUAAAAAGUAAAAAUCAAAGUGUCUCUUUUAAACAUUAUGACUCAAUAAAGCCUACUUACUCAUUCUUAUCUCGCUAAAUCCUACAAAAACAUUCAAAAUUUAAGAGAUCUCUUGAGGGUUAAAAGAAUUGAUCUCUUUGAUAUGUGCAUUUUUAAUCAAGUUGGGUGUUGUUUGAAACAAUGGCUUUGACAUGUGUCAUUCAAUUUUAAGCAUUAAAAAUAUAUUCCUUCCAAUUCUAAGUAGAGUAGCUUAAAGUGAUAGAAACGAAUGAACAAAGAUUCCUGCUACUUGCUUUUAUCUUAUUUCUAUAUUAGAUUAGAAUAUGGAAUGAUCAGCUUUUUUUAAUCAUGUGAAAAAUCUGCAAACUAAUUUAGCAAAUAACUGGGAAGAAUGACUGUAUUGUGCUCAUCUAUGAUGGAAACCUGGCGUAAACCCCUCUAAAUUGCUACUACAAGUUACUUUUUUGAGUGAUGAUUUCUUUUGCUAAAUUAAAAUCAUAUCAACUUUCUCCAAUGGUAUGGUUGCUUGACUAUCCUGCUCUUUCUUAAGUGCAAACUCGGGAAGAGACAAUUUCAUCCAAAUUUUUGAAAGAAAGAUGGAGGAAAAGCGCAAACAAUUAAGACAAAAUGGUAAGAAUCUCAUUGAGUCUUUUCUAUAAACCAAGUGUAGCGAUAACAGCCUACUUCUGAUAUAUCUGACUGGUUCUCCGAGGAUUUAUCUGCUUUCUAAUCUUGAUACUAAUCAUCAUUGUGCUUCCUUUUUUUUCUUGUGCUGUUCUAAGGUCGCGAGCUAACUGUUUCUUGGGCUCUUUGUGCUGUUUGUCUUGUUGGCCAUCUCUCUCAUUUCUUUGCAGCUAGGGCACUGUGGAUUCAUGCAUUCAUUUUGUUGGAUUUCAUGUGUCAUUGUCUUUGUUUACAUUGCUUGGUCCUGGUCGCCAGCUUAUCUUAGAUGGACUAAAAAGCCUUCUUAAAGGGAACACCUUAGUUGGUCUUGGGGCCUUGUCAUCAUUUACAGUCAGUUCAUUUGCUACGCUGCUACCAAAAUUGGGUUGGAAAGCUUUCUUUGAGGAACCAAUUAUGCUGAUUGCAUUUGUCUUGUUAGGAAGGAAUCUUGAGCAGAGAGCAAUAAUUAAAGCAACAAGUGAUAUGACAGGACUUCUUAGUUUACUACCAUCAAAAGCCCGCCUUCUUGUUAAUAAUGAGAAAACAGAAGUUGACGAAUUGAAUUGUAGGCAAAUUCUGGGUGAAUCAUUGAGCAACUUAAAAACCUGGAGAGUAAAUUAGAGAAAGGAAUUAGCAAGAUUUGUUCCAAAAAGAUAUUUGAAUUCUAGUUAGGAUACAUGACUUUUGAGUUAAUUUAUUGCUAAACAUCUAAAGAACUUAACAUUAAAAAAGGGGUUUAGUUUGGCUUAUGGACAAAAGAUUUCCCAUUCUUUUAUUGAUCUGUGUUUGCUUUUUUGUAAUUUGCAGAUGAGGUAAUUAGCACUCAAUUGAUGGUUUUUUGGUAAAUUUACUAAAAAUGGGUCAAGCAUUUUUCUCUAUAUUUUAGCUUGAAACA